rnacentral:sRNA from 1 species
UACGCUAAGUACUCGGCCCUAAUUGAC